CACUGAUUUCAUGCCUGCUGGAUCUGUCCAUUACCAAUAGAGGGGUGCUGACACUGCAAGUGUAAUAGUGCAUUUAUGUCUCUUUCUCCCUGCAGUUUUACCUGGUUUUGCCUCAUGUACUUUGAUGCUCGUUUGUGAGGUUCAGACACGGGAUUGUCGUGCCUUCUUGGUGCGUCGGUCACCGUCUCGGCGGUAAGGAACGGCGCCCGGACUAGCGCGGGAACGUGGGUGCCGGAGUCCCGCCCUCCCCUCCUGCAGGUGCACAGAAGCUCUUGAAAAGUACAUCAAGUUGAAAGUGAACCAGCUUGCUCUCGGGCAGGACCAGAGCCAUGAGCAAUAAUGGAACAGACCUCACCACUGGUUUCAUCUCCUCUAUUGUAGCCAUCCUUUUGUUUGGCUCAAACUUUGUACCACUUAAAAAAUAUGAGACUGGCGAUGGAAUGUUUCUCCAGUGGGUUCUUUGUGCUGCCAUAUGGUUGGUUGCCUUGGUGGUCAAUCUGAUAUUACAUUGCCCUAAGUUUUGGCCUUUUGCAAUGGUUGGGGGCUGCAUUUGGGCAACAGGAAACAUUGCGGUUGUCCCAAUUAUCAAAACCAUUGGUUUGGGCCUUGGAAUCUUAAUCUGGGGAUCAUUUAAUGCCUUAAUCGGCUGGGCAAGCUCAAGGUUUGGCUGGUUUGGAAUGGAUGCAGAAGAGGUGUCAAAACCACUGCUCAAUUACAUCGGAGCCGGGCUGUCAGUAGUAAGCGCUUUCAUAUUUUUGUUCAUCAAAAGCAAAAUACCAAAUAACACAUAUUCUGUGGACACCACACCAUUAAUAACAGAGCAUGUGGUUAACAAAACUCAAGACCCCGAUCCUGAACAUUCCUGGGUGGAUAAACUUUCUACAGUGCAAAACCGCUUAGUGGGCUGCAGUCUCGCGGUAAUAUCUGGAAUACUCUAUGGAUCUACAUUUGUGCCAAUCAUUUACAUCAAGGACCACAGCAAGAGAAAUGAUAGUAUAUAUGCAGGGGCAAGUCAGAACGAUUUAGACUACGUUUUUGCACACUUCAGCGGCAUCUUCCUUGCAAGUACAGUCUACUUUCUGGCCUACUGUAUAGCCAUGAAAAAUAAUCCUAAACUAUAUCCCAAAGCAGUCUUGCCAGGAUUCCUGUCUGGAAUACUCUGGGCCAUUGCUACCUGCUGUUGGUUCAUAGCGAACCACUCCCUCAGCGCUGUGGUCAGUUUUCCAAUCAUCACUGCUGGUCCAGGAUUUAUAGCUGCAAUGUGGGGUGUCUUCAUGUUUAAGGAAAUACAGGGUCGACAAAACUACCUGCUGAUGAUACUUGCAUUUUGCAUCAUCUUGGCUGGAGCCUUAUGCACAGCUUUUUCUAAACUCUAACAACCACAAGGCCAGCAGAUGGCAGCAGUGCUUGAGAACACGUCUCUCCUGGACACAGAGUCUGCGCUGAGAACAAGGUUCAUGUUCAUACAGCAAAUGGAUCUCCAUCCAUCCCGGAUUAGGAGUUGCUACCUACUAGCCUUGUAUGUAUCACUAUUGGGAGAGCUUCUGAAAAACACAUUGAGUAAAAAAAGGUGAGUUGUAGAGAUGUGUGCAUGGUAUGAUACCAUUUAAAUAAAUUUUUAAAAAUCAAAGAAAUAUGUACAUUUUCUGUGAAUUCAUAUGUAUGCAACAUAUUAGAAAAACAUGUGUACCGAACUCAUAAUAGUGAGAAUAAAAUGGUGACACUAGGUCAAGGUGACCUUGAGCAUUACCUGUAAUACUCUAAUUUUUAUGGCAAUGAAUUCAUCUAUGUGUUCUUUAAUAUGUGUUAAAGAAUCAACGGCAGAAAAUCUCAGAAGCAUAUGUCUAAAUGUUAAAGUAAUUCAAACUAGGUACUGUUUAAAAUAUCAAAGCAAGAAUACACACACACGAACACACAAACUAAAAACACAAAGAUCAGGACAAAACUGGGAAAUUUUCCAGUGUGGGAGUCCCACCUCCUAAAGGUGGAAGCCAGAAACUCGCUUUCCUAGCCUCCCUGUGGUAGAAUCUAAGGGUUUUUCUGACCAUGGAGCCUCCAAGCCCAAUUCCAUGGUCCUGCGGGAGAUUCUGUGAGCUACCUAAUAUAGUUGUUGCAGAAAUUUGGCCUCAUUAAACAACAACAACAACAAAAACUCACAAAUACCUUGUAGUCUAUUUUAAUCAACUUUAAGAGGUAUAAUUUGCAUCCAAUAAAAUUCUCCCAUUUUAAGUGAACAGUGCUGUGAGCUUCAGCAAAUAUAUACUCAUGUAACCACCACUACACCCUAGAUACAGAACAUUUCCAACAACCCAAAAAGUUCCCUUCUGCCUCUUUGUAGCUAACCGGUGAUCUGUUUUCUGUCAUUCUAGAUUACUUUUGCCUAUUCUAAAAUUUCAUAUAAAUGGGAUCAUACAAUGUACCCUUCAUAUCUGAUUUCUUUCAUCUUCUAGCCAUUUUCAAACAAUGUUUACUGAUCUGAAACAAUUAUAAUGCAUUCUCAAUCGUCCUCCCUAGUGGAAGAAAGCAUAUGUGUGUAUUCAAAAUAACAACUAAAGCAGAAAUGAUUAACAUUUGGAAUUGUUAUAUUUAAGUGUGUGAUGUGUCAUGUUCCAGAAAGUCACCAUUUUAAAUUAAUAGUGUGGUUAAGAAGAAUUCUUAGCUACCCUUUGAGUCCAUCCCCACUCUAUAAUGUUCUCUUUUGAGGGGCUGUAAGAUAUUAAACUCCUUAAACUAGAUGACCUCCAUUUACUACAUGUUGAAAAAAACGCCUGUUCUUGGGUUUCUUACAAUGACCUAAUGGAUUAUAAUCUCUGGGGCUGGAAAGUAUGAAUUUGCAUUUUUUACAAGUACUCUUGGUGAUUCUUUUUUCAUACCUUGCUAUCUAAAAGAUUUCAAAGUACUAGGUUAUUACAAAAUAAAAAAGAAUAUUGUCUUCCACUCCUAGAGGAAAGAGAGAAGAUAUAAAAGAAUAGGUAUCCACUUAAUUUUAUGAAGAUUUUUAGGAGAAAAAAAUGAAAGGUUUGAAACCAUCCUGUUUACGUGGAAUUUUUGGCAAAAAAUAACAGUAAUAACGACUGGGCAUCAUAUUACCUUUUUUGGCUCAAACCACGUAACUUCCACACAUCGAAUCAUCUCUGCCUGGUGGCCAAGCCUAUUUUCACUUCAGAUUAUGCAGACUGAUUCUUUCUCCAGUAUAAAAUCUCUAACACAAUUCAUGUUGACAAGAUCCCAUGAAAACAAACAAACAAAAAUUCCAAUUUCCAAAUGGAGAUUUUGCAACAAGAUCUAGUGAAGCAAAUUUAAACACUUGAAUACACUGUUUGGUAAUACUAUCAUGUGGAGAUUUUCAUGAUGUGUCUGAGACUCUAGUAAAAACAUGUUUAUUAUAAACACACAAAAGAACAUGCAAUUCUUAAGAGGUUCUCCUCUGGAUCGUACCUGAUCUGACAUUAAUUCGAAUUUCACUCACUUAUCUUGAAGUCAAAUUAAGCUCUAUAGAAGUAAACAUGUGGAAGCGUGUAAAAAACAUGGUUCAGCCUUUUAAGAAAUUUGUGCACAGUCUGAAAAAGGAAACUCAAUAGAUUCUCUCCAUGUGUGUAAUGCAUCUUUCAGCUGAAACCUGACACAGAGCUGCUGAAAUACAAAGGAGGAGGGUAAGUUGUCAUUUACUUGACCGGUCACAGCAUUAUGAGCUUGGUGGUCAGUUCAUUCACAAUAAAUUUUCUAAAUACAUAAAACGUUUCAGUAAGUGAUAAAAUUCCAUACAUUUUGAUGGAGAAAAACAUGAUAAGACUAUGUUCGAAAUAGUGCUUCUAUUUGGUUCAAAAUAUGAUAUAGUAAGAGAAGGAAGCUUUGGGGAAACUUUGAGGUUUACUUUUAUUGAGGCAAGUUGUGAAAUUUGCUGGAUGAUAGGCCAUGGGUAAGAGAAGGUCGGUGUGUGUGGACUGAACUGACGCUUCUUCACAGCAGCUCCUAACAAUGUCUGCUGUAUGAGGAACGGAAACCAGCAAAGAGCAAGGGGGAGUUGCCCUUAUCUGAUCUUGCAGACAGCUCUCCACUGGUUUUCAGUGUAUAAGCGUCUACAGAGAAGCUUCUUCAUCUUGUCUUACAGCCCCAGUGAAAAGUGGACACCCACUAAUGACCCCACUGACAUGCUGGGGAAAGGUACCCAAGAACAACUCUUUUGAGGACUUCCCUGGUGGUCCACUGGUUAAGACUCUGCAAGGGGGAA